AGCAUUCUCCACACGCCCCGGAGUGACGAGGUCUCCAUAACAACGUUUGUUUCCAGGGUGACCUGCUGCUGUUGCCAUGGCAUCCUGUAUCCACGGCGAGACUCCAGAUGGCUCUGAAGGUCCAGCGUGAUGAGUAAACGAGGCGACGGGGCACACCGGAGUAAACGUACGGGCAGCGGGCGUGAGGAGGAACCGAGCGCGGCAAACAUCAGGAGCUUCACUAACGGUGGGGAGAGCACCAGCAGGACCGGGUUCACCAAACGGAGGGAAGAACCGGGAGAACCGCGAUCACGUGAUGGUGAUACGACAGCUAGAACAGCCGCUCUUCUCAGAAGCUUCUCCCUAGACUUUGGAGUGUCUGUGUGUGUGGGAAUUUGUGCCCAUUCAUUGUGUGGCUGAGUUCUGGUCGGUGUUCCGGUUCAUCCCAGAGCUGUUGAGUGGGGCUGAGCUCAGGGCUCUGUGCAGGACACUGGAGUUUUUCUUGACGUCUUUAUAGAGCUCACUCAUGCAGGAACAGACACACUUGCUGCUGGAGGACUGGGUGCACCGGAACCUUGAUUCCUCACCCUGCUGGAGGACUGGGUGCACCGGAACCUUGAUUCCUCACCCUGCUGGAGCACUGGGUGCACUGGAACCUUGAUCUCUCACCCUGCUGGAGGACUGGGUGCACCGGAACCUUGAUCCCUCACCCUGCUGGAGGACUGGGUGCACUGGAACCUUGAUCUCUCACCCUGCUGGAGGACUGGGUGCACUGGAACCUUGAUCUCUCACCCUGCUGGAGGACUGGGUGCACUGGAACCUUGAUUUCUCACCCUGCUGGAGGACUGGGUGCACCGGAACCUUGAUCUCUCACGCUGCUGGAGGACUGGGAGCACCGGAACCUUGAUCUCUCACCCUUCUGGAGGACUGGGUGCACCGGAACCUUGAUCCCUCACGCUGUUGGAGGACGAGUUUUCCUCCUCAGACCCUCUCAGACCUUUGGCCAGAGAGUGCAGGCGCUACACUGGCCGGUCUGCAGUCCCAGACACUUUACAUCUUUUACACUUUUGCUCCUGGUGUAAACAGUGGAUUAUUUAUCAAUAAAAACUUUAUAUGUUA